rnacentral:tRNA from 1 species
CGGAGCGUAGGCUAGCCCGGUCAAGUCACCUGGUUUGGGGCCAGGACGCCGCCAGUUCGAAUCUGGCCGCUCCGACCA